CUCAGAGUAAACCCUUGCCUUGUUCUUUCUGAAGGUAAACAGAGGAGAUAUCUUCUUGAGCUCAGAGUUCUGAGGUAAUUACAAUUAGUUGCCAUAGAGAGAAAGAGAGAGAGAGAGAGAAACACAUGAAAAUGUAUCUUACUUUCUGUGUUUAGGAAAUUCAUUUAAUGAAAUAUUCAGAGCCACCAAAUCUAUCCAGACCCAGAUACCUAUUAAUCUGUUAGCCACUUGGGCUCCAGAGGGAUCUUUCUUCACCAGGAAAGCUUUUUGACUGCUCUACUCCUGUGCUCAGAAACUUUUAAUGGCUCACCGUUUUCCUGUGUGCAGAUGGUGUUCCAUCUUCUUAACACCCCUGUUUUCUUUAGAUGCUGGCUCCUGCUGUCCACCAGAUCCCCGUGAUGCAGUGACUGAUAUAGACGGGCUUGUUGAAUUCAUUCUCUGGAUCUGAGCAACGUUGGCUGAGCCGUGACGAAGUACUCCUAUCCAUCCAGUAUGCUUCACAGUGGGAAUCUCUCUGUCUUCAUCACCACUGCCCUAGUAGCCUCAGGUCUUCUCCUCUUCAGAUGGACUGCAGGGACCCACGAGGCCCCAGUGGCAGCCAAUCAACUCUGAGCACAGCCACUGCAUAGAGGGUUCAGUGAAGUGAGUGGGGCUGUUACCCCCCACCAAGCAGUGAGUGGCUUUCUGCUGUUCCACUCCGGAGGCCUCACCUCCUGUGUUUUUAAACUCCAGUUUCUGUCUUUCCCUGUUGGCACCAAACUUAUCUUAAUAAAAUAUAAAUCAAAUCACAUUAUUUCCCCCAUGAAAUCUGUUGACGCCUGUGGCUAGUGGGAUCAGUGCCAAAUCCUCAGCUUACUC